AUGGUGACGUGGCCGCAGUACGUCGACCAGUUCUACAACGAGAAGCUGGUCGUGGAGGUGCUCGGAGUGGGCGUGGGCGUCGGCGCCGAGGAGUACGCGCCAAGCGUGGAGACCCACCGGGUGAUCGCCGGCGAGGCGAUCGCGGAAUCCAUCCGGAAAGUGAUGGGGGAGGAGGGCGACGGCGCCGCCAUGCGGAAGAAGGCAAAGGAGCUCGGCGUGAUGGCGAGGGGCGCGGUAGAGAAGGGCGGGUCGUCGUACGACGACGUCGGGCAGCUCAUGGAGGAGUUGAUCGCCCGUCAGUCAGUGGGAUGGCGGAUCAGACUGGACUAG
rnacentral:rRNA from 1 species